rnacentral:sRNA from 1 species
UUUUUCUUGUUAUAAUAAAAUCAGUAGAGGCGUAAAGAUGGUGGCUAUCAACAUGAAGGUGGUGAUGCUUAUGAACAUGAGCUCUAACCCUUUGGAAAGGACAACCAUGUCUGUUGCAGAAGCGAUUGCGCUCAUGAUUGGCUUUGGGAGCUUCUUAGUUUCCUUAAUCGGUCUAGU